rfam:Gossypium arboreum cultivar AKA8401 contig_69189_1, whole genome shotgun sequence.
AAACCAUAAUGAAGGUAUCUCUGUAUGAGUAAUUUAAAAUGAUCCCAAGCUUCAUAAAAAAUGUCUCCUCCUAUCUGUUUAAAGUUAGUAAUGUCUCUUCUUAGUUG